rnacentral:rRNA from 1 species
GACGAACGCUGGCGGCGUGCUUAACACAUGCAAGUCGAACGGAAAGGACCUGCUUUUGUGGGGUGCUCGAGUGGCUAACGGGUGAGUAACACGUGAGUAACCUGCCCUUGACUUUGGGAUAACUUCAGGUAACUGGGGCUAAUACCUGAUAGGAGCUCCUUCUGCAUGGUGGGGGUUGGAAAGUUUCGGCGGUUGGGGAUGGACUCGCGGCUUAUCAGCUUGUUGGUGGGGUAGUGGCUUACCAAGGCUUUGACGGGUAGCCGGCCUGAGAGGGUGAUCGGUCACAUUGGGACUGAGAUACGGCCCAGACUCCUACGGGAGGCAGCAGUGGGGAAUAUUGCACAAUGGGCGGAAGCCUGAUGCAGCAACGCCGCGUGGGGGAUGACGGCCUUCGGGUUGUAAACCGCUUUCGCCUGUGACGAAGCGUGAGUGACGGUAAUGGGUAAAGAAGCACCGGCUAACUACGUG